rnacentral:rRNA from 1 species
UACAGAGGUCUCAAGCGUUGUUCGGAUUCAUUGGGCGUAAAGGGUGCGUAGGCGGCGCGGUAAGUCGGGUGUGAAAUCUCUGGGCUUAACCCAGAAAUGGCAUUGGAUACUAUUCGGCUUGAGAGUUGGAGGGGGGACUGGAAUUCUCGGUGUAGCAGUGAAAUGCGUAGAUAUCGAGAGGAACACCAGUGGCGAAGGCGAGUCCCUGGACAACUUCUGACGCUGAGGCACGAAAGCUAGGGGAGCAAACAGG